GUGCUCACUUCUGCAGCACAUAUACUAAAAAAAAAUGGAAUGAUACAGCGAGGGUUAGCAUGGCCCCCGAGCAAGGAUGACAAAUUCGUGAAGCAUUCCAUAUUUUA